rnacentral:rRNA from 1 species
UUGGGCGUGCCUCCACCCACGCCGGCGUCGGCGGGCGUAUUUCGCCUCACAGUAGGUCGCCGCGACCCGUUGCUUUUGGGGACGUCGAAGGCCCGGACGGAUUGGUACCCUACCGGCUGGGGAUGCGGCUUCGGCUUCUCCUCUUGUCCGGUGGGCGAAACCGCCGGUGUCCUGGCUGCCCUGCGACGGUCGUAGAGACGAGCCCUCCCCUUCGGGGGGGCGGCUCUCGCGGCGUGCAAAAGGUCGGUGAUCCACCCGACCCGUCUUGAAACACGGACCAAGGAGUCUAACAUGUGUGCGAGUCAGUGGGCGCACUAAACCCAGAGGCGUAAUGAAAGUGACACGGGUUCGGCUGUCGCCUCGUGUGGCAGCCGGACUCAGGGCCGAUCCCUCACCGGUUGCCCUCGCCUCUCUCCCGCGUCUCGGUAAGCCGGGUGAGCUAUUUUCCCCGGCCGCUGCUGCGGGGCUCGGGGGGAGGCGGGGUGCGAUGGUGUCCGUAAAAAAGAGCCUGCUGUUGCAGGGGGGCGCAGGCCCGGGACUUGCCAGGACGCCGCGAGACUGUCACUUUGCUGUGAGGCUCUCGGGCCGAUCAGCGGGUCAUGCGUGCAGUCGGCAAGUACCAUGAGCAGACAUGUUGGGACCCGAAAGAUGGUGAACUAUGCCUGGCCAGGAUGAAGCCAGAGGAAACUCUGGUGGAGGUCCGUAGCGAUUCUGACGUGCAAAUCGAUCGUCGGAGCUGGGUAUAGGGGC